UACAAAGGUCCCAAGCGUUGUUCGGAUUCACUGGGCGUAAAGGGUGCGUAGGUGGUGGGUAAGUCGGAUGUGAAAGCUCGGAGCUCAACUCCGAAAUGGCAUUGGAAACUACCCUGCUAGAGGAUUGGAGGGGGGACUGGAAUACUUGGUGUAGCAGUGAAAUGCGUAGAUAUCGGGAGGAACACCAGUGGCGAAGGCGACUACCUGGCCUGUUCUUGACGCUGAGGCGCGAAAGCUAGGGGAGCAAACGGG
rnacentral:rRNA from 1 species